UAAUUAAUCUUUUUGUCCAUUAUUUCCUUUACUUUUCUUGCUCGCCGACUUUCGUCUCAGGGAGUGCCUCCUCUUCAACGCCACCACCGGCGAACAGCCAUCCUCAAACCGAUACUUAAUUUCUUGAAGCGACUCUCUCACCAUAUCCACCGGAAAAUUGAGUAUAGCCAUCGAACCCCGCAUGGAAAAUGCUGCUUGGUCGUAGGCUAAAGCGGCUGCCUCUGCACUGUCAAAGGUGCCUAACCAAACCCUGAUGCCAUUUCUGGUGGAGUCUCUAAUCUCGGCGGCGUACUUCCCCCAUGGUCUCUUUCGUACUCCUCUGUAAGAUUUCUCGUUCUUGGGUGUGGAAACGGAAACCUCCUCUUCUUUGGAAGUAACUUCCUCUUCUUUAGUCCCGGUAGUGGAAUUGGAUUCCGACGAUUCUUUAUUUGGUUCUUGGGCUAGAACAUCGAAAAGAAGCAUUUCUUCAGAGUCGUUAGAAUCGAAAGGUAAGGAAUUUGGGUGGUAAAGAAACGGCUCUUCCCAAGAAAAUGACUCUAAAGAAUCGAAAGAGAGCUCUGGUUUGAGGUAUUGAUUGAAGAAAGAAGGUUCCAUCUGGGAAUUAAUGGACUUUUCUUGGUUCGUGGUUUUCUUUUGUUUUUGUGGUUCUUGGUUUUCUUGAAUCUUUGAUUAGUUGCCAGCAGCUUUGCGCUGUUGUGUUUCUU
rnacentral:misc_RNA from 1 species